GACGAACGCUGGCGGCGUGCCUAAUACAUGCAAGUCGAGCGAACUGACUAGAAAAGCUUGCUUUUCUAUGACGUUAGCGGCGGACGGGUGAGUAACACGUGGGUAACCUGCCCUAUAGACUGGGAUAACUUCGGGAAACCGGAGCUAAUACCGGAUAAUACUUUGAAUCACAUGCUUCAAAGUUGAAAGAUGGUUUUGCUAUCACUAUAGGAUGGACCCGCGGCGCAUUAGCUAGUUGGUGAGGUAACGGCUCACCAAGGCGACGAUGCGUAGCCGACCUGAGAGGGUGAUCGGCCACACUGGGACUGAGACACGGCCCAG
rnacentral:rRNA from 1 species